GUGGGGAAUCUUCCGCAAUGGACGAAAGUCUGACGGAGCAACGCCGCGUGAGUGAUGAAGGUCUUCGGAUUGUAAAGCUCUGUUAAUCGGGACGAAAGAGCCUAGUGUGAAUAAUGCUAGGAAGUGACGGUACCGGAAUAGAAAGCCACGGCUAACUACGUGCCAGCAGCCGCGGUAAUACGUAGGUGGCAAGCGUUGUCCGGAAUUAUUGGGCGUAAAGCGCGCGCAGGCGGAUCUGCCAGUCUGUCUUAAAAGUUCGGGGCUUAACCCCGGGAUAGGAUGGAAACUACAGAUCUAGAGUAUCGGAGAGGAAAGUGGAAUUCCUAGUGUAGCGGUGAAAUGCGUAGAUAUUAGGAAGAACACCAGUGGCGAAGGCGACUUUCUGGACGAAAACUGACGCUGAGGCGCGAAAGCCAGGGGAGCGAACGGGAUUAGAAACCCGGGUAGUCC
rnacentral:rRNA from 1 species